AACGUAGUAGAUUAUUUUGGUCUUUAGGUUUAUUUCUCCCGCAUUUCUUUUUACUUGGCGCCACCGCUAGCAGCACGGUGUUCUUCCAUUCAACGGAGUUGAAUAAGGCAAAAUUAGCAAAGAUGCAGCGGAGAGUGUCGGCAUCGGGGAGGCCUUCUGGUACAGAUGGCUCAGAUUACUCGUAUCAGAUGGUUGUUGAUUUCUGAUAUCAGAAAGUAGCUCGUACAAAGUCUAUUCUGUCUUCACUUUUUUUAGUUCAGGU